UAAUACGUACCGGACAAACGUUAUUCGGAAUCACUGGGCUUAAAGAGUGCGUAGGCGGCCUAGCAGGCGAGGUGUGAAAUCCCACGGCUCAACCGUGGAAUUGCGCUUCGAACCGCUAGGCUCGAGGGAGACAGGGGUGAGUGGAACUGAUGGUGGAGCGGUGAAAUGCGUUGAUAUCAUCAGGAACACCAGUGGCGAAGGCGACUCACUGGGUCUCUACUGACGCUGAGGCACGAAAGCUAGGGGAGCAAACGGG
rnacentral:rRNA from 1 species